AUGAUUUCUUCGACAGGUAUGAAUACCCCGAAAAAACCUCACCAGUUGAAUUACUGGUUAGAGCUUCUCCAUCGGGUGGCCUCCCUCAGUCUGGUCGCCCAGGCCCUGGGCACGACCAUGUCCUACAUGCGCUCCGACGUUUGGAUUGGCAAGAUUCUCAAUACUAAUCUUCCACUAGUGUAUCCUCCUUCAGCCUUAGCCACUCUAUCACUCGGCAUGCUAAGCCUCCUCUACUCUCUGGGUCUUGAAAGAUCGAGUAUCAUGCGAUUGCUGAUGGUAAAGUGUGUCAUUUUGCUGACGGUUUGCUUAGCUUUCACAGCAGUUUUGGUGCCAGAUGCGACAAAUUAUAAAAAUAAUAUUCCAACACAUGCAGCCCAUGAUUGGUCUGAGGUAGUUAGAGUGGGUGCCAUGCUGGUCUGUAGUCUAAUAAGCACAGGCAGGGUGGCAAGUCACGUAGAUACUAUUGAGGGACGUUCUUCUGUCCAUGCUGGGGCGAUCCUAUUGGCCAUCGUCUCCUACACGCUCAUCUGCAUGUCCUUCUCCAUGCUUAUCAACAUUGACCUGAUAUCAACUGAUGAUGUGGCAGUGGUGAAGAUUUUCGAAAUUCGCGGAGAUCAGGGUCUAUUUCUCGUGGUGUACAGCCUUACCGUGUCCAUCCUGACGCUGACCUUCUCGGAACUCAUGUCGCCAGCCGUUCAUAAUGUUGUUGGCAUAUCUUCGCAAAACUACAUGCUCCCGGUGGUCCUGGCUAAGGAGGCCUCCUUUACCUCUACCCAUGUAUACGCUAUUUUUUUCGUCGGUUGCCUAAGUGCCAUUUUGUGCCUUACAUGUUCAAUGCAAGUGCUGAUAUGCUUAGUCAGCGGCACUUACCUGCUCAAUCAUGUAGUUUGUGUCAUUGCGUCACUAUGGAGAAGAUAUCAGCCGUCCAUCAGUAUUUCCUCUAAUUAUUGCAACGGCCGAGAGGCUGAGUACCGGCCGCUGAGUACGGAAGGAGACCCAGCACCCGGGAACAGUCUAGCGUCACCGCCGGGUUCCCGGACGGAGCUGAGGGGGUUCCCGAGGGAGGAGCCGGGGAGUCCGGGCGAGGAUCAGGACCAACACCAGCUCAUCAGCAUCCACGCGGACUCGGCAACCGACGGGGACAGCCGCGGAUCCAUGACGUCACUCGGCUCCCAGACACGGUUCCUCCGCGCCGGCCCCGCCCCGGACUUCCACCCCCACGACAGCAACGACUCCGGCCACAGCUCCGAGACAGACAUCGACGCCGCCGUCGCCCAGUACAAAGAGAUCCUCCUGAUAGAGUCUGCAACCAAUUUUAGUUCAGCGCGGAUUCCUACCUCAGAGACUUGGAAGAAAGCUGUUGCAAGCAUUACCGGAAUAUUAAUGUGCACCGGAAUUUUGGGUGCAAGCAUACAUUUCUCACUAUUUUUUGUUUUCUUCAUCACGCUCAUAGCAGCAUCUAUUUUUGGCGGGCUUUUGGCAUGCCAACCUCAGCGACCACGCGUCGAAGGGGAAAUAUUGUGCCCUUUCUGGCUGUCCAUAGCAAACAUCAUAUCUUGUGGCAUUUUGUUGUGUCAAAUAAUCGCAGAUAUCUUUUGGAUCACCUCUAUAUGGCUACUAAUUGGGGGAGGCCUCUUGUGGAAGAUGAGGCAUAUACGGAGGAGGACGAGAAGGCGUCGUGAGAGAAUCAAGCUCAUAUCGCCGCCGCUCCAUCGGACCGUUAGGACUUUCGUCACCAGACAACGCACAAUCAAUGCAAAUUCCGAGAGCAGUUCUUUACAUCACCAACAAUUAAGCGUUUGA
rnacentral:lncRNA from 1 species